GCCGGCAUAGCUCAGCAGGUAGAGCAACGCUUUUGUAAAGCGAAGGUCAGAGGUUCGAUUCCUCUUGCCGGCUCC
rnacentral:tRNA from 1 species